rnacentral:rRNA from 1 species
ACGGUCCUAAGGUAGCGAAAUUCCUUGUCGGGUAAGUUCCGACCCGCACGAAUGGCGUAACGAUGGCCACACUGUCUCCUCCCGAGACUCAGCGAAGUUGAAGUGGUUGUGAAGAUGCAAUCUACCCGCUGCUAGACGGAAAGACCCCGUGAACCUUUACUGUAGCUUUGCAUUGGACUUUGAAGUCACUUGUGUAGGAUAGGUGGGAGGCUUUGAAGCAGAGACGCCAGUCUCUGUGGAGCCGUCCUUGAAAUACCACCCUGGUGUCUUUGAGGUUCUAACCCAGACCCGUAAUCCGGGUCGGGGACCGUGCAUGGUAGGCAGUUUGACUGGGGCGGUCUCCUCCCAAAGAGUAACGGAGGAGUUCGAAGGUUACCUAGGUCCGGUCGGAAAUCGGACUGAUAGUGCAAUGGCAAAAGGUAGCUUAACUGCGAGACCGACAAGUCGAGCAGGUGCGAAAGCAGGACAUAGUGAUCCGGUGGUUCUGUAUGGAAGGGCCAUCGCUCAACGGAUAAAAGGUACUCCGGGGAUAACAGGCUGAUUCCGCCCAAGAGUUCAUAUCGACGGCGGAGUUUGGCACCUCGAUGUCGGCUCAUCACAUCCUGGGGCUGUAGUCGGUCCCAAGGGUAUGGCUGUUCGCCAUUUAAAGUGGUACGUGAGCUGGGUUUAAAACGUCGUGAGACAGUUUGGUCCCUAUCUGCAGUGGGCGUUGGAAGUUUGACGGGGGCUGCUCCUAGUACGAGAGGACCGGAGUGGACGAACCUCUGGUGUACCGGUUGUAACGCCAGUUGCAUAGCCGGGUAGCUAAGUUCGGAAGAGAUAAGCGCUGAAAGCAUCUAAGCGCGAAACUCGCCUGAAGAUGAGACUUCCCUUGCGGUUUAACCGCACUAAAGAGUCGUUCGAGACCAGGACGUUGAUAGGUGGGGUGUGGAAGCGCGGUAACGCGUGAAGCUAACCCAUACUAAUUGCUCGUGAGGCUUGACUCU